rnacentral:lncRNA from 1 species
UCUGUCGUAGCUCUCACCACAGUAGACUCUGCUAUCAUUGUGUCUUCCAUCCUCUGAACCCUGUGCAAGGUCUGCUCAUGGUGAAUGCCCAGUAAGGCUCACCUAUUGCUGCUAUCUCAUCAUCAUAUCAUUUCUAUGUGCCCCCCUAGCUAAGAGUCUGGACUGUGGUUACAUUCUCAGGAAUGUCUGCAAAGUCAUAUUUAGGUGUGAGGAGAGUAAAACAGAGCUAGACAUAAUGUUGCACACAGCCUUUGGCACUGG